rnacentral:rRNA from 1 species
AUACGUAGGGGGCGAGCGUUGUCCGGAAUGAUUGGGCGUAAAGGGCGCGUAGGCGGCCCGGUAAGUCUGGAGUGAAAGUCCUGUUUUUAAGAUGGGAAUUGCUUUGGAUACUGUCGGGCUUGAGUGCAGGAGAGGUAAGUGAAAUUCCCAGUGUAGCGGUGAAAUGCGUAGAGAUUGGGAGGAACACCAGUGGCGAAGGCGACUUACUGGACUGUAACUGACGCUGAGGCGCGAAAGUGUGGGGAGCAAACAGGAUUAGGUACCCUGGUAGUCCACACUGUAAACGAUGAAUGCUAGGUGUAGGGGGUAUCGACCCCUUCUGUGCCGCAGUCAACACAAUAAGCAUUCCGCCUGGGGAGUACGGCCGCAAGGUUGAAACUCAAAGGAAUUGACGGGG